rnacentral:rRNA from 1 species
GAUGAACGCUGGCGGCGUGCUUAACACAUGCAAGUCGAACGGAAAGGCUCCUGCUUGCAGGGGUACUCGAGUGGCGAACGGGUGAGUAACACGUGGGUGAUCUGCCCUGCACUUCGGGAUAAGCCUGGGAAACUGGGUCUAAUACCGGAUAGGACGAUGGUUUGGAUGCCAUUGUGGAAAGUUUUUCGGUGUGGGAUGAGCUCGCGGCCUAUCAGCUUGUUGGUGGGGUAAUGGCCUACCAAGGCGUCGACGGGUAGCCGGCCUGAGAGGGUGUACGGCCACAUUGAGACUGAGAUACGGCCCAGACUCCUACGGGAGGCAGCAGUGGGGAAUAUUGCACAAUGGGCGCAAGCCUGAUGCAGCGACGCCGCGUGGGGGAUGACGGCCUUCGGGUUGUAAACUCCUUUCGCUAGGGACGAAGCGCAAGUGACGGUACCUGGAGAAGAAGCACCGGCUAACUACGUG